CAGCCGCCGCGGUAAUACGUAGGGUGCAAGCGUUAAUCGGAAUUACUGGGCGUAAAGCGUGCGCAGGCGGUUAUAUAAGACAGAUGUGAAAUCCCCGGGCUCAACCUGGGAACUGCAUUUGUGACUGUAUAGCUAGAGUACGGCAGAGGGGGAUGGAAUUCCGCGUGUAGCAGUGAAAUGCGUAGAUAUGCGGAGGAACACCGAUGGCGAAGGCAAUCACCUGGGCCUGUACUGACGCUCAUGCACGAAAGCGUGGGGAGCAAACAGGAUUAGAUACCCCCGUAGUCCCUGUCUCUUAUAC
rnacentral:rRNA from 1 species